AUUGAACGCUGGCGGCAGGCUUAACACAUGCAAGUCGAGCGGGGUGAUGGUGCUUGCACUAUCACUUAGCGGCGGACGGGUGAGUAAUGCUUAGGAAUCUGCCUAUUAGUGGGGGACAACAUCUCGAAAGGGAUGCUAAUACCGCAUACGUCCUACGGGAGAAAGCAGGGGAUCACUUGUGACCUUGCGCUAAUAGAUGAGCCUAAGUCGGAUUAGCUAGUUGGUGGGGUAAAGGCCUACCAAGGCGACGAUCUGUAGCGGGUCUGAGAGGAUGAUCCGCCAAGCUGGGACUGAGAAACGGCCAAGAGUCCUACGGGAGGCAGCAGUGGGGAAUAUUGGACAAUGGGGGGAACCCUGAUCCAGCCAUGCCGCGUGUGUGAAGAAGGCCUUAUGGUUGUAAAGCACUUUAAGCGAGGAGGAGGCUCUUUUGGUUAAUACCCAAGAUGAGUGGACGUUACUCGCAGAAUAAGCACCGGCUAACUCUGUGCCAGCAGCCGCGGUAA
rnacentral:rRNA from 1 species